AGCAGCCGCGGUAAUUCCAGCUCCAAUAGCGUAUAUUAAAGUUGUUGCAGUUAAAAGCUCGUAGUUGAAUUUCGGGGUUAGUAGGUUGGUCAUGCCUCUGGUAUGUACUGGUCUCACUGAUUCCUCCUUCCUGAUGAGCCGUAAUGCCAUUAAUUUGGUGUUGCGGGGAAUUUGGACUGUUACUUUGAAAAAUUAGAGUGUUUAAAGCAAGCUAACGCUUGAAUACAUUAGCAUGGAAUAAUGAAAUAGGACGUUCGAUCCUAUUUUGUUGGUUUCUAGGAUUGACGUAAUGAUUAAUAGGGAUAGUUGGGGGCAUUAGUAUUCAAUUGUCAGAGGUGAAAUUCUUGGAUUUAUUGAAGACUAACUACUGCGAAAGCAUUUGCCAAGGAUGUUUUCAUUAAUCAAGAACGAAAGUUAGGGAUCGAAGACGAUCAGAUACCGUCGUAGUCUUAACCAUAAACUAUGCCGACUAGGGAUCGGAUGAUGUUAAUUUUUUAAUGACUCAUUCGGCGUCCG
rnacentral:misc_RNA from 1 species